GAUGAACGCUGGCGGCGUGCCUAAUACAUGCAAGUCGAGCGAACAGACGAGGAGCUUGCUCCUCUGACGUUAGCGGCGGACGGGUGAGUAACACGUGGAUAACCUACCUAUAAGACUGGGAUAACUUCGGGAAACCGGAGCUAAUACCGGAUAAUAUAUUGAACCGCAUGGUUCAAUAGUGAAAGACGGUUUUGCUGUCACUUAUAGAUGGAUCCGCGCCGCAUUAGCUAGUUGGUAAGGUAACGGCUUACCAAGGCAACGAUGCGUAGCCGACCUGAGAGGGGUAGGGGCCCACCUGGAACUGAGACACGGUCCAGACCCAUCGGGGGGGCAGCAGUAGGGAAUCUUCCGCAAUGGGCGAAAGCCGGACGGAGCAACGCCGGGGGAGUGAUGAAGGUCUCCGGUUUGUAAACCUCUUUUAUUAGGGAAAAAAAAAUGUGUAAGUAAAUAUGCACGUCUUGACGGUACCUAAUCAGAAAGCCCCGGCUAACUACGU
rnacentral:rRNA from 1 species